GGCGAACGGGUGAGUAACACGUGGGCAACCUGCCCUCAGCUCUGGGAUAACUCCAAGAAAUUGGUGCUAAUACCGGAUGUGACUGCUGACCGCAUGGUCUGGUGGUGGAAAGAUCUAUCGGCUGAGGAUGGGCCCGCGGCCUAUCAGCUUGUUGGUGGGGUGAUGGCCUACCAAGGCGACGACGGGUAGCCGGCCUGAGAGGGUGACCGGCCACACUGGGACUGAGACACGGCCCAGACUCCUACGGGAGGCAGCAGUGGGGAAUAUUGCGCAAUGGGCGGAAGCCUGACGCAGCGACGCCGCGUGAGGGAUGACGGCCUUCGGGUUGUAAACCUCUUUCAGUAGGGACGAAGCGGAAGUGACGGUACCUACAGAAGAAGCACCGGCCAACUACGUGCCAGCAGCCGCGGUAAUACGUAGGGUGCAAGCGUUGUCCGGAAUUAUUGGGCGUAAAGAGCUCGUAGGCGGUCUGUCACGUCGGCUGUGAAAACCCGAGGCUCAACCUCGGGCCUGCAGUCGAUACGGGCAAACUGGAGUACUGCAGGGGAGACUGGAAUUCCUGGUGUAGCGGUGAAAUGCGCAGAUAUCAGGAGGAACACCGGUGGCGAAGGCGGGUCUCUGGGCAGUAACUGACGCU
rnacentral:rRNA from 1 species